CAUUACACACGUAAAAAUCUCACAACUUGUUAACAAGAUGUGUUCGCAACAGACUUGUAGCAAGCUUGCCAACAAGUUGUAAUAAUGUUGUUAUUUUAUCAAGUUGCUACAAGGUUGUCACUCACAACUUGUUGACAAAUUGUUGAAUUGCAGGACGAUAACAAGUUGUUGGAACAACUUGUAACAAGUCUGUUGAACUCAACAACCUUGUAGCAAGUUGUCAACAAGCCGUUGACAACUUGUCAACAAGCUGGGAACAAGCAGUGCGAAUACAUCCUGUUGACAAGUUGUUGGAACAGCAUUGCUACAAGUCUGCUGCAGGUUUGUUACAACUUGAGCG
rnacentral:lncRNA from 1 species